rnacentral:rRNA from 1 species
AACGAACGCUGGCGGCAUGCCUAACACAUGCAAGUCGAGCGCCCGUAGCAAUACGGGAGCGGCGCACGGGUGAGUAGCGCGUGGGAACCUGCCCAGAGGUUCGGGACAACCGCGGGAAACUGCGGCUGAUACCGGAUGAUGCCUGAGGGCCAAAGAUUUAUCGCCUUUGGAGGGGCCCGCGUCGGAUUAGGUAGUUGGUGAGGUAACGGCUCACCAAGCCUGUGAUCCGUAGCUGGUCUGAGAGGAUGAUCAGCCACACUGGGACUGAGACACGGCCCAGACUCCUACGGGAGGCAGCAGUGGGGAGUAUUGGACAAUGGGGGCAACCCUGAUCCAGCAAUGCCGCGUGGUGAUGAAGG